CCAACUCGCGCUUAAUGUCUCGAUCCCAGGAAGAGGAAAUCUGGUUCCAGCUGGAGGCCUUCGUGUUCCAGGGCAGAUCCAGUCUUUCUAUCUACUUAACGUUUGUUCUGAAGGCCACUCUUGCUUCUGCACCUAGUGACGUGCUUCACAAAUCCUGUUCCUUUGCCAAUGGAUGGCUUGCUGCUGAUGGGAACCACCAGGUUUGUUGUUGCUGUGACUCAACCUGAAUUCCCGAUGAUGGAACUGCUGCUUCUCCUUUUGGAGGCCUUCAUUGUGAAGGGGAGGCCUCGCUCGAUCCUGUAGUGGUUCAAGAGCACAAGACUUUAGCUGGUCUUCGAUAAAUGUGUGG